rnacentral:lncRNA from 1 species
CUGGCUGUCCACAGCCAAGGAUGGCCGCAGAAACAAACCAAAUCCAAAUCCAAUUGUCAGCUAAACAGCUUGUCACUCGCCCAUUGCCAUUCUGGGUCCUGCCGUGCCUGUAUUUCAUCAGCCUCAUCUAUUUCUUUCAGGAACAACGGUUCAGGUAUGAGAUGAUGAGGGCUUGCACUAAAGCAUUGGCAGUGACCUUAGCGAAGGAAGCACAAGGGACAAAUACAAAAAAGAGAUUUCAAAAGAAAUCCUGGGAAAGAAUAAUGAAAGAAGAUUCCAUCAAUUUUCCUGUCCCCAUGUACAACUGGCUACAAUGAGGUGAUAUUAGUCUCAUCUGUAGAAGCUCUACAUUUUGUUUCUGGAUCUUUUUUUCUAAUUCUGUGAUUUUAUCUAUUAAAAGUCUGCUUUGUUCAGACAUUAUGGCCUCCCAUUCCUUCUUUUGCUCCAUUAUCUCACAUUCCUGGGUAGCUUCCACCUCCCUCAGUGUGACAAGGAAAUCACUUUAAAAGACUGAUAUAUAUUAAUUUAAGGUCGCCAAGGAAUUCAGCUAUGUAAUUCCUAAAUGAAAACUCAAGUCAGCAGUCAACCUUUUAUGGAGUUUAAUUACAAACAGGAGGAAGAAAGGUAUUAGAGAUAGAGAGAGAGAGGGAGAGAGAAAGAAAGGGGAGAGAAGGGAAUAGGGCUUAAAUACCUCCUCUGUUUAGGCUGGGCCAAAAGGCCCAAGCCCUUAGAUAGCUGAGGCAAAGAAAAGAGAUCAGUCCCUAUCACUCACGUGACCAAAAUGGAGAAACAGUCUCAGGGGCCUCCACCUCCAGCUUCCUUCAGAGCAAGCUUUUCAGAGCACAACCUCU